GCUAAUACAUGCAAACAGAGUCCCGACCGUAAAUGGAAGGGACGCUUUUAUUAGAUCAAAACCAAUCGACGUCCGUCUGCUCUCGGGCUGACGGCGCCGUACUCCUUGGUGACUCUGAAUAACUUUUGGCAGAUCGCACGGUCUUCGAACCGGCGACGCAUCCUUCAAAUGUCUGCCUUAUCAACUGUCGAUGGUAGGUUCUGCGCCUACCAUGGUUGUAACGGGUAACGGGGAAUCAGGGUUCGAUUCCGGAGAGGGAGCCUGAGAAACGGCUACCACAUCCAAGGAAGGCAGCAGGCGCGCAAAUUACCCACUCCCGGCACGGGGAGGUAGUGACGAAAAAUAACGAUACGGGACUCAUCCGAGGCCCCGUAAUCGGAAUGAGUAUACUCUAAAUCCUUAUACGAGUAUCAAUUGGAGGGCAAGUCUGGUGCCAGCAGCCGCGGUAAUUCCAGCUCCAAUAGCGUAUAUAAAGUGU
rnacentral:rRNA from 1 species